UACGUAGGGGGCUAGCGUUGUCCGGAAUCAUUGGGCGUAAAGAGCGCGUAGGCGGCCCGGUAAGUCCGCUGUAAAAGUCAAAGGCUCAACCUUUGAAAGUCAGUGGAUACUGCCGGGCUAGAGUCCGGAAGAGGCGAGUGGAACUCCUGGUGUAGUGGUGAAAUGCGUAGAUAUCGGGAGGAACACCAGUGGCGAAGGCGACUACCUGGCCUGUUCUUGACGCUGAGGCGCGAAAGCUAGGGGAGCAAACGGG
rnacentral:rRNA from 1 species